CAAGUCGAACGAGAUUAUUUUUUUGUUUACAAAGAAAUGAUUGCAGUGGCGGACGGGUGAGGAACACGUAAGAACUUACCUUUUGGCGGGGGAUAACAACGGGAAACUGUUGCUAAUACCCCAUAAUGCUGAGGAGCGAAAGGGAAACUGCCAAAAGAGAGGCUUGCGUCUGAUUAGCUAGUUGGCGGAGGUAAAUGCUCCCCAAGGCGACGAUCAGUAGCUGGUCUGAGAGGAUGAUCAGCCACACUGGGACUGAGACACGGCCCAGACUCCUACGGGAGGCAGCAGUGGGGAAUUUUCCACAAUGGGCGAAAGCCUGAUGGAGCAAUACCGCGUGAAGGAUGAAGGAUCGUGGUCCGUAAACUUCUUUUCUUAACGAAGAAAAUCUGACGGUAGUUAAGGAAUAAGCACCGGCUAACUCCGUGCCAGCAGCCGCGGUAAUACGGGGGGUGCAAGCGUUGUCCGGAAUGAUUGGGCGUAAAGCAUCUGUAGGUGGUUUUUAAAGUCGACUGUUAAAGCCCAGGGCUCAACUUUGGAUAAGCGGUCGAGUACUUAAGGACUUGAGUAUGGUAGGGGGUAGAAGGGAAUUCCUAGUGGAGCGGUGAAAUGCACAGAGAUUAGGAAGAACACCGAGGGCGAAAGCACUCUACUGGGCCAUGACUGACACUGAGAGAUGAAAGUUGGGGGAGCGAAAAGGAUUAGAUACCCUUGUAGUCCCAACCGUAAACGAUGGAUACUAAGUGCUGACAAAAUCAGUGCUGUAGCUAACGCGUUAAGUAUCCCGCCUGGGGAGUAUGCUCGCAAGAGUGAAACUCAAAGGAAUUGACGGGAACUGGCACAAGCGGUGGAUUA
rnacentral:rRNA from 1 species